rnacentral:rRNA from 1 species
UACGUAGGUGGCAAGCGUUAUCCGGAUUUAUUGGGUGUAAAGGGCGUGUAGGCGGGAAUGCAAGUCAGAUGUGAAAACUAUGGGCUCAACCCCUAGCCUGCAUUUGAAACUGUAUUUCUUGAGUGCUGGAGAGGCAAUCGGAAUUCCGUGUGUAGCGGUGAAAUGCGUAGAUAUACGGAGGAACACCAGUGGCGAAGGCGGAUUGCUGGACAGUAACUGACGCUGAGGCGCGAAAGCGUGGGGAGCAAACAGG